AUGGCGAAGACGGGAUGGUGGGAGAAGGCUGCGAAGAAGAUUAGAGAGGAGGAUGCAGCCAAGCUAAAGAAGAAGAAGGAAGAGGAGCUUGAGAAGGAGAGGAAGGCAAAACAGAGAGCGUCAAAUGCGAUGCGCGCUAGGGAGCAAGUGUUGAUGAGGAAAUGUGAGGAGGCACAGAAGAAGCGUCAACAGGAUUUUGAAGAAAGAACCAUGAAGCUUUGGGCAAUUGCAGCUGAAAAAGAAGAGAGGGACAAUCAGAUAUUCAUGGAGAGGGUGGUUAAGGAGGCUCACCUCAUAAAAAAAAGGAGGAGGAAGAGGAAGAAGAGAGGAAGAAGAAGGGAAAGGGGCCUUGCUCUACGCAAUAGAGCUAUGUCGUCCUCUUCGAUUUGGUUGUGA
rnacentral:rRNA from 1 species